ACACCACAAGACUGAGACGAUCCAGUGUAAUACCUAGAAAAAGGAUUAGUAUGCUCACACAUCUUCUCCUCACUCACCUCACUCCAUUCUAGACACAGCCAGCUCCAUCUAUGGCCUCCCUUCUUCCCAUUCCAAACCCAAAACCCUCUUCCCACUAAACCAAUCAAAAAGCUCAAAUUUUUACCCCACCAUCACUCUUCUCCUCCGACGCCAUCGCCCUCCUCUCCUUCAAGUCCCACCUCGACAACCACCUCCUCUAGACCCUCAACGAGCCUGAGCUCAUUCGACCUCUCCAGUGAUAUAGGAAUCGUUGGCGCUGCAACAAAUCUAAGAGAUGGCCACAAGAACUUCAAGUUUCAGAGCAUGAUUAGACAAAGUAGGUGGGAAAUAUGAAGUUCCAAAGUACUCAUCUGGAUGGGUUGUAUGCCCAUAUUUGACUUAAUUAGCAAUAUCCCUUGACCUCCUACCAGCGACUUUCCUGAAUUAUGUUUUGCUAAGUCACCAGCGCAUUGAGGUCACGAGGAAUAUCUAGAGACAUUUAAAGUCAUAAUCUUGGAGUCGUCUAACAUAAUGCAGGUAAUUCAUUUGUAUAUAAUGCAAUUAUGUAAUCAAAUUUUUGUGGGAGAUUAGAUUUUGAAGAUUAUGCAAUUGUAUU